UACGUAGGUGGCAAGCGUUGUCCGGAAUUAUUGGGCGUAAAGCGCGUGUAGGCGGCUUGGCAAGUCGGAUGCGAAAUCCCCGGGCUCAACCCGGGAAAUGCAUCCGAAACUACCUCGCUAGAGUCCCGGAGAGGAAGGCAGAAUUCCCAGUGUAGGGGUGAAAUCCGUAGAUACUGGGAGGAAUACCAGCAGCGAAGGCGGCCUUCUGGACGGUGACUGACGCUCAGACGCGAAAGCGUGGGGAGCAAACAGG
rnacentral:misc_RNA from 1 species